rnacentral:tRNA from 1 species
GGGAAUGUGGCUCAGUGGUAGAGUGCUUGUCUCACAUGUAUGAAGCCCUGGGUUCAAUUCCUCAGCAUCA